rnacentral:rRNA from 1 species
UGGGGAAUAUUGGACAAUGGGCGAAAGCCUGAUCCAGCCAUGCCGCGUGUGUGAAGAAGGUCUUCGGAUUGUAAAGCACUUUAAGUUGGGAGGAAGGGCAGUAAGCGAAUACCUUGCUGUUUUGACGUUACCGACAGAAUAAGCACCGGCUAACUCUGUGCCAGCAGCCGCGGUAAUACAGAGGGUGCAAGCGUUAAUCGGAAUUACUGGGCGUAAAGCGCGCGUAGGUGGUUCGUUAAGUUGAAUGUGAGAGCCCCGGGCUCAACCUGGGAACUGCAUCCAAAACUGGCGUGAUAGAGUAGGGCAGAGGGUGGUGGAAUUUCCUGUGUAGCGGUGAAAUGCGUAGAUAUAGGAAGGAACACCAGUGGCGAAGGCGACCACCUGGGAUCAUACUGACACUGAGGUGCGAAAGCGUGGGGAGCAAACAGG